AUACGUAGGUGGCAAGCGUUGUCCGGAAUUAUUGGGCGUAAAGCGCGCGCAGGUGGUUCCUUAAGUCUGAUGUGAAAGCCCCCGGCUCAACCGGGGAGGGUCAUUGGAAACUGGGGAACUUGAGUGCAGAAGAGGAUAGUGGAAUUCCAAGUGUAGCGGUGAAAUGCGUAGAGAUUUGGAGGAACACCAGUGGCGAAGGCGACUGUCUGGUCUGUAACUGACACUGAGGCGCGAAAGCGUGGGGAGCAAACAGGAUUAGAUACCCUGGUAGUCCACGCCGUAAACGAUGAGUGCUAAGUGUUGGGGGGUUUCCGCCCCUCAGUGCUGCAGCUAACGCAUUAAGCACUCCGCCUGGGGAGUACGGUCGCAAGACUGAAACUUAAAUGAAUUGGCGGGG
rnacentral:rRNA from 1 species